UCAAUUUGAAAUCGUUGUGUGUAUCCUUUAAUUUAAGUAGAUGGUACUUAAAAGUAAUUUAAGAUCUAGAGGAAAAGUAUUUUCCACGUCCUCAAUGUCGUUUGUUGGAUCUACGUAAUUGUACCAGAAGUUGUAGUAACUCAAAAAGCUUGAUGCCCAGCGUUGAGUUAAUUUUUUUGUUGGCCCAAAACAAUUGUGUGAUAGGGCAUGACAGUUUCAGCAUUUCGUCGGCUUUCCUUGUUUGUUAAAAGAGCAGCUGGGAUCAGCAUUGCAAGUCGCUUUCUACAUUUCGUAGAAGUUCUCCGGUCCUGCAUCAAUGUGGCCUCACGUUAAAAUUGCUCUUUUGCAGAUUUCGGUGCUUUGGUUCCCCAGUAAAAGCAGGACUUCGUCAAAUAUUUCUGGAAUGAAACACACACACGAGCCCGAUACAAAAAGCAGUUGCUUUUUUAUGUAAAAAUCCUCUACCAGACUCAGCAACCACCAUCCUGGGAUUUUGAAGAGGCUCCAGGUAUCCUGACAGGCCCCCGAUUCGUUCUGUUAGCACAUGGGGAUGGAGCUUGUAAUGGUGAAAAACCUAACUAAGCCCAGCUACUGUGUAAGCUCAAAAGGUGAUUAAUCCAGAGAUAAAGCAUGCUUAUGGAAUCAGUCUACAGCCAUUUUCUCCUGUAUCCUGCUCAUCUAAAGUUAUCCCACGGAUCAAGGCACUCAGUCUUUGAUGAUCUGAAACUAGUCACAGAGACAGAACUU